GAGUUUGAUCCUGGUUCAGGACGAACGCUGGCGGCGUGCCUAAUACAUGCAAGUCGAACGCGUCUCCGUUAAUGAUUUUAGGUGCUUGCAUUUGAAAGAUUUAACAUUGAGACGAGUGGCGAACUGGUGAGUAACACGUGGGUAACCUGCCCUUGAAGUAGGGGAUAACACUUGGAAACAGGUGCUAAUACCGUAUAACAACCAAAACCACCUGGUUUUGGUUUAAAAGACGGCUUCGGCUGUCACUUUAGGAUGGACCCGCGGCGUAUUAGCUUGUUGGUAAGGUAACGGCCUACCAAGGCGAUGAUACGUAGCCGACCUGAGAGGGUAAUCGGCCACAUUGGGACUGAGACACGGCCCAAACUCCUACGGGAGGCAGCAGUAGGGAAUCUUCCACAAUGGACGAAAGUCUGAUGGAGCAACGCCGCGUGAGUGAUGAAGGGUUUCGGCUCGUAAAACUCUGUUGUUGGAGAAGAACAGGUGUCAGAGUAACUGUUGACAUCUUGACGGUAUCCAACCAGAAAGCCACGGCUAACUACGUGCCAGCAGCCGCGGUA
rnacentral:rRNA from 1 species